ACCUUAGGCGGCUGGCUCCAAAAAGGUACCCCCACCAACUUCGGUGGUACCAAAUUCUCUGGUGUUAACGGGGGGGGUGUCCAAGGCCCGGAAACUUUUUCCCCCCGCCUGGUUGAUCCCCAAUACCAACCAAUCCCGGUUCCUGGCAGGCAAUUUGCACCCGGCAUCCCAAACGGAAAAAACUUUUAAAAAAUAACUUAACCCCCCCACCUUCCCACCUCUUUGUCCUUCCCAUUGAACCACUGGGGUACCCCAGGUCAUAAGGGGCAGGAGAAUUUGCCUCCUCCCCCCCCUCCCCCCGGUUGGCCCCCGGCAUCCUGGUUAAAUGGCCCACUUAAUGGAGGGCACCAAACAAAAAGGGUUGCCCUCUUUCCGGAAUUUACCCCACCUUCUCACAACCCAACUUAACAACAACAUGGACCAACCGGUCAUUUUGCCCCCAAAGGGAAACCUUUUUUUCUAAAGGGUUAAAAGGAGGUCAAACCCGGGAAAGUUCCUCCCCGUUCCUCCAAUUUAAACCACUGGCUCAACCCUUGGGGCGGCCCCCCUUCAAUUCCUUUGAUUU
rnacentral:rRNA from 1 species